GGGUAUGUAGCUCAGAGGAUAGAGUGCGUAGCUACGAACUACGAUGUCGGGGGUUCAAAUCCCUCCUUGCCCA
rnacentral:tRNA from 1 species